GGGGAUUUAGCUCAGUGGUAGAGCGCUUGCCUAGCAAGCGUGAGGCUCUGGGUUCGGUCCCCAGCUCCA
rnacentral:tRNA from 1 species